CUGUGUGCUUCCACUGAACUUUGUCCCAUCUCGCCUUUCUCUUCCUACUUUCAAAACCUUGCUUUUCUUUUGAUUUAUUUGUAGACCCAGCUUAUACGCUUCAUUUACUAAUCUUUCUGUUAUCUCUUUCAGUAUCUUUUCGCUCGUCGCUACAAUUGCCAUAUCAUCUGCGUAUCCCAUCAAUUGAUGACUCUUGUACAAUAUGUGUCCAUUUCUAAAUGUUGUUCUGAAGCUAUUUUCGUGUGGCAUUUUUAUAAUAAAUUAUUUAAAAUUUCUAUUUAAGUUGCUGUUUCUAAUGAGUUUUUCUAGUACCAUGUUAAAUAUUAGCGUUGACAGCGAGUCUCCUUGCCUAAGUCCUGAUCUGACUGCAAAAUCUUCUGAGGUUCCCUCUUUUAUUCUUACGUUGCAGGUCGUAUGCUUUAAUGUCAUCGUCACUAGUUUCUUUAGCUUGUAACGUUUCAAUCAGCCGAUUGAACGCUACACCAAGCUCCGCUUGGUAUUUGUCCCUCGGACUAUAUAUUUCUAGAAGCGACCCUACUACCGUCAAGUCAAUUAGUACAUCUCUUCGAAGCUAUUUAAUGCGAUAAAAAUUUGUACUAGCUCCCUUUUGCCAUUGCCACGUAAAUCAGGCACAAUAUUGGCAUACAUUAUCGUGUUUGGGUGUAGGCCGUUAAACAAUGGCCCCUACCUCGGGAAGAAGAUUUUAAUCAAGCACCUGGAAAAGAAAACCUUCUACCGCUACCUUGGAGAGCGAAUUAGCUUACAACCGUAUCCUGAUGCAGUAGAAUAAAUUAAACAAGACAGCCCUACAGAGACAAGACAGCCCAACAACGUAGCCCUAGACUUCCCUUAACUGCCGGCGACGACAAAAUCUACAGGGAUUGGGGACCUCCUUUAGGAACUGUGACGGAAGGACUUAAAGCUGAGUAAAUUUUUACCUUUAUAACUUUUGUACCGAUUACCAGCGGGGUCUCGGUCACGGGCUUAGAAAAUUAACUUGGUUAUCAGUAUACAAUAAAAAUGAUUUUUGUUAAGUUUUUUUUAUAUUUCAAUAAAUAGCGUAUUUAAAAAUGA